GCCCAGACUCCUACGGGAGGCAGCAGUGGGGGAUAUUGCACAAUGGGGGAAACCCUGAUGCAGCGACGCCGCGUGGGCGAAGAAGUAUUUCGGUAUGUAAAGCCCUAUCAGCAGGGAAGAAGAAAUGACGGUACCUGAGUAAGAAGCACCGGCUAAAUACGUGCCAGCAGCCGCGGUAAUACGUAUGGUGCAAGCGUUAUCCGGAUUUACUGGGUGUAAAGAGUUGCGUAGGUGGCAUAAUAAGUAGCUAGUGAAAUCUGGUGGCUCAACCAUUCAGACUAUUAGCUAAACUGUUAAGCUCGAGACCGUUAGGGGUAACUGGAAUUUCUAGUGUAGGAGUGAAAUCCGUAGAUAUUAGAAGGAACACCAAUAGCGUAGGCAGGUUGCUGGGACGGUUCUGACACUAAGGCACGAAAGCGUAGGGAGCAAACGGGAUUAGAUACCCUUGUACCG
rnacentral:rRNA from 1 species